AUUACGUCCCUGCCCUUUGUACACACCGCCCGUCGCUACUACCGAUUGAAUGGCUUAGUGAGGUCUCCGGAUUGGCUUCGGGGAGCCGGCAACGGCACCCUGUUGCUGAGAAGCUGAUCAAACUUGGUCAUUUAGAGGAAGUAAAAGUCGUAACAAGGUUCCCGUAGGUGAACCUGCGGAAGGAUCAUUA
rnacentral:rRNA from 1 species